rnacentral:lncRNA from 1 species
GCGCUCUGGGACCCCAGGGGCUUCCUCUCUGGGCGGGUGUGCGGCUCGCGCCUCGGGGUGUGGACGGCGGCCCCGCCAGUGCGCGCCCCCGCGCUCCGCCGCCAGGCCAGAUAUGUUUCCUUCUUUUUGCCAUUCUCUACGUUGUUUCCUACUUCAUCAUCACAAGAUACAAGAGAAAAUCAGAUGAACAAGAAGAUGAAGAUGCCAUCGUCAACAGGAUUUCGUUGUUUUUGAGCACGUUCACUCUCGCAGUGUCAGCUGGGGCUGUUUUGCUUUUACCCUUCUCAAUCAUCAGCAAUGAAAUCCUGCUUUCUUUUCCUCAGAACUACUAUAUUCAGUGGCUAAAUGGCUCCCUGAUUCAUGGUUUGUGGAAUCUUGCUUCCCUUUUUUCCAACCUUUGUUUAUUUGUAUUGAUGCCCUUUGCCUUUUUCUUUCUGGAAUCAGAAGGCUUUGCUGGCCUGAAAAAGGGAAUCCGAGCCCGCAUUUUAGAGACUUUGGUCAUGCUUCUUCUUCUUGCGUUACUCAUUCUUGGGAUAGUGUGGGUAGCUUCAGCACUCAUU